UGUACUGGCUCAUUUAAUCUUCCCAACAACCCUUGAGGAGACGAUCUCACAUGUGGCUCGCAGCUGACUCCUGCAGGGGCUCAGAUAAACGAGGAGAGGACAAAUACCAGCUGGGCACCUUUACAGCAUUCUGUGUGGGUAGGGGAUGGAGCCAGAUGGACUUUCCUCAGCCUCUUUAUUUAUGGAAGGCCUCACUCACUUUCCAACAGGAAGAGAGAGGGUGGGAGGGGGCACUGGGAUGCUGUGUCCAGGGGGAGGAAACGGGAUGUAUGAGCGAGGGGGCUCUUGUGACCCACUGCGUGUGGCCGUGGUCACUGGCGCCCAUCUCUCUCUUCCAAAAGCCCUUGGUGUGUUUGGUCCCAGCAAGUGAUAAUAACAGGAGACACAACAUCUCCACGAGCCAAGCGCCCUUGUAAGUGCAGUAGGUAGCAAUCUUUUGAGGUACGUGUGCUAGCAUUCCCAUUUUACAGAUAAGGCAAGUGAGUCACAGAGAGAUUCAGGAACAUGCCCAGAUUCAUCCAGGUGUAAGUGGCAGAACGGGGACUGCAGACCCGGGCAGUCGGGCUCCAGAGUUUGCAGCCACCGUUUCUGCUGAUUUUCAAAGCAGGGGCAUCCUUGAGGCCAUCUGGCUCAGGCUGUCCCUAACUCACUCACUCCUGAACCACCUUCAGGAUCUUUGCAAAAUCUGUAUCCCACUUCUGAUGUUAUUGGCUUGACUUUUUUCUUCUCAUAAUUCACAGGUUUAGUUUAAGACAUGUAUCUUGAACGAAAUCUUGAUAUACCUACGAGAGAUAAAAAUCGGCAUCAUUUGCCAUAAAAAAUAGAACGGAAAUGUCAGAAUAAAUCCAGUGAAAACGGUACUAAAUUUUAGCCACGUACUAUUGCCCCCAGGUCCGGAGACCCCCGUGCCCAAGUUGAGGGAUGAAAAGGGAAGAGGAAGGGGAGUCACUCUCAUGGGACCUGCCCCAGGGGUAUCCUGUGUUCCCUCUAAGCCACCUUGCUUGCCCUCUGCUCUUGGAGAAAGCGGGUUUAGGACAAUGCUCCUUCUCACCCCUGAGGAGGAGAUGGAGGCUCAGGGAAGGGAGCUGCUGUGUCUGAGACCAGCACUUGGGACCCCCGACUCCUGAGCGCGAGGCCCUCUACACUCAUAUGUAGGCACAUUUUCACACAUCUCCCUGCAUCUCUCAUGUUAAUUCCCGAGUGAAUUCAUGUAGUUUAUAUGUUGACGGUGGCCCUGCCACCAACGCUUGUCCUCCCGUUCUCAUGCUUCUGAAGUAAUUCCAAACCUUGACAGAUUUGGCUGUUCUGGAGGGAGCACCAGGUCACCUGGGAAUUUGGAAUGGGGACCCCUGGAUCUAGGUGGUCUGCUGCUACUGCGGUUGGAGGCAUUUAAUCCUUCCAUCUGCCAAAGCAUCUGUACGUUGAGCCUAACAGCACUUUCUCCAUGAAGCUCAGAGCGUUGUUGUUGGGAUGCAAGUGAGGUCACAGAUUGGGAAACGCUCCGGUGGAAAACACAGCCUGACUGUGCACACUAGCAGUCACCCGAGCCCUCACGCACCCAGCGUCUGCCAGCGAUGAGAACCGUGCAGAAGUGGACGGGCAUUCGCACGGGCAGGAGAGAGGUCAGAGUUGACUUGGGCAUCUGUAGGACAUCGACCGGUCCUGCUGCACCGUGUGCCAGGGGCUCACGGGGUGUGAAAGCACGGGGACGGGACACCAGGUAGCCUGGUCGCGAACAGAUUCACAGUGUAAAAGCCGAGAAACACACAGUGUAGGCAAGGGUUGGGAUUCCUCAUGGUCCUGACCCUCAGCCUUCUUCCGACCCACGGCCAAGCAGGUUGGCUCAUCUGUGUUCCCAAAUGACUCAACUUCAGAGCUAACAGACGAGAAGGGAGCAAGCAGGGCUGUUUCUGGGGGGCAAAACUUCCUUGGUGAAGAGGAGGGGUUGGCUUAGAGGAAAAUGGUAAGAAAAUGGAGCAUUUGUGCAUUGAAGUCUGAGGGCGCCGAGUGGAGGGUUGCAAACCCUGCGUACGUCAUAGACCCUGAGGUCUGUUGUUUCGUAAAACACAGCAACACAUAACCGACCUUCAUAACGGCCUCCUGAACCCUUGCUUGGGCCCUGUGCCCAGAAUGCUCUUCCCCAUCCCUCUGCUGGCCUGACUCCUCACCUGCUUUCGGCCUCUGCUACGAUGUCCACCCCCUCAGGGAGGCCCACCCUGACCUCCCUGUUCUCAGUUAGGUUCCAUCCGGGCUCUUGGAAAAUGUUCUCUUUUUUCCUGUAGUACUUACCACCUUUGGACAUAAUAUUUGUCAUCCCCUGUCUGUCUAUCUACCUAUCUAUCACCUAUCUGCCAUCUGUCUUUCAUUUAUUAGGUCUUCUGUUUGACUCCAUCUCUAGAACACAAAUUCCCUGGGUACUAGGGCGUUCGCUUUUCUCCCACAUGGAGCUCUUUCGUGUAUUUUGAAAAUAGGGCCUUUGAUAUGUGCUUUUCACCUUCCUCUCCUGUUACCUUAUAAAGGUGUCCGUGGGUGCCCUACUUCCGGUCCUGACCCACUGAUCUGCACAUCGCAGGGUGGGCAGGCCAGGGAUGGGAAACCACAGUCCUUCUGGACAGGCUUCCUCUCGUAAACUUCCCCUGAGGACUUCCCGGCGGAAGAGCUUCUACAGACAAACAGGUUUUCUUGAUUUUUGUUGUUGUUGUUGUUUGCCAUGGACCCCAUUUUCUUCCAAAUUUCCGUAUUUCUUCCUAUUCUUUUAGAAGUGAUUUAGAAGGUCUGUAAGCAGGAUGCCCGUGGCAGGAUGGGAAUCAAGAGCAAAGACAAUAAAUACAGUGAAAGGAGAAGUGACACUUAUCAAACCCCAGCUUCACACCCCACACUGGGUGCUUCACUAGGGCACCCAGUCUUCCCCGCCAUGCUGGGCGGGAAGAGUCGUGAUUCUCAUUUUCGCGGAUGCACCAACUGGGGCUCCUGGAGGUCGAGAACCUCAUCAGCAAGUGGCAGAGGGCUGCAGUGCCCUUCUAGCCCUCUCUGCCCUGAUGGCCAAUCAAGAAGUUCACCUGUGAUGCACCUGAUGAGAAUAUCCUUCUAGAAGCUUGGCUCUACCAGUUGUGGAAGACUGGCCCUGAGGACAGUCACCAGCCCUUUCCUCAAGAACCCUCUGAAGGUGGGACGUCAAGAAGGGAAAUGCUUUACCCCAGGUCUCACUACCUUUACUUAGCGCUGGGGCCUGGAUUCAAAUCAAGAUCCUCUUCUUCUCAAUCCCAUGCUCUUCCCAUUUAAUGUCAUAACCUGGCUUGAGUUGGGUAGGUCAAGAAUAGUGAGCCGGUGGCUGACGAGGAGCUCCCUGUCCUCUGCCUCCAGUACCGGCCUCUGAAAGGGGGAUGUUUGCAGAUCUUCACCUGCUGCUGAAUACUCAGUGUUCAUUUUUUCUUGCUCCAUGAGUCCAGUGAAUGUGGCUGAGUCCACACUUGUCCCUAAGGGCUCUGGGACUGUUGGGCAUUAAGGAUUUCUUCAACUAUGUAGGUAGGCUUCCUUCUCUAGUCUUCAGGUUUUUAGUGUUUGUGUUUGGACAGCAUGUGAGAGGAAGUUGAUGGGAUAUUUACCCAAAGACAGGACACUUUCCAAGGACUAAGAUGCUGCUAGAAGCUCUGUCAAGCCUGGACCUCUGGGGUCACUGGUGACAGGACCAGAGCAUUUCAGUCGUCCAACAGCCACUCUCUGCCAUGUCCCUGCUCAGGGAGAGGACAGUCAAAUGCGGGACUAUGCAAUGGGGCCUCGCAGUCCCAGGGACCAUGCUUGGGGGCGUUUGGCUGGUUGUUGGUGCCAGCAGGAUGGAGUUUGCAAGACUGAGAUGUGACCCAAGUUUCUGUUUGAGGCCUUCUUUGUGGGCUUUCUCGGAGCACACUGGGGUCCCCAUAACUGGUUGCCUGUCCAUACUCCUGUUCUUUGUGGCCUGGCGCUCCUGGGCUGUGCAAAUAUCAAACAUGAUGGUUGAAAGCAAGAGCCCUGGAAUAUGACAAACUGAGCUUUGAUUCCUAGCCACUUCGUUGCUGUGUCACCUUGGAUACGUUACUUAACCUUUCUGCAUCAUAGCUUUCUCAUCUGCGAAAUGGAGCUAAUAUUGCUGAUCUGAUAAGGUUAUAUGAGAUAAGGUUAUAUGAGGUUAAAGUACUCAGUGCUGGCACAUAAUAGAUGC